rnacentral:rRNA from 1 species
CCCACCAAACCUUCGAUGGAUAGGGGUUCUGAGAGGAAGGUCCCCCACAUUGGAACUGAGACACGGUCCAAACUCCUACGGGAGGCAGCAUG